UCGUGUCCAAUCCAAACAAAAUAUUAUUUUCAGCGGGAGAGCAAACAAAAGACAAUCGAAAUGAAAUAGGGCGCUUUUCCACACACACUCCAAGUACUUGAUCUAAGAAAAUUUUUGUGCCAUGUUGCCAGAUCUUCACUGAAAGUGGAUGGGAACAAGCUUUCAGCUGGCAGUCAUUCGAAAGGCGUUUUUGAAGUAUGAGAGGUGGAGAGUCUGCCAGAUGAAUGAGAGUUGGAUGCGCUUUCGAAGGUAAACUCUGAAUUCGGGCCUAAGGGCCGAAACUAUAGACCUCUCUCGAAAGUGCUGUUAACAGACAUUCACUUGGCAGCUUGUCAACCGUUCACAACGUAUAAAGGACUUUCGAGAGUUUGCCAGCUGAAUGCGCUUUCACAGCCAAAUGGUAUUUAAAUAUGGCAACAGCGCACGGUUUUAGCGAGUUUUGGGGUGUUUAGAACUGGUGUAGGAAAGCGCCCAUAUUUUGUUGAUAUUCAUUUGUCUGUUACACCAUAAAUAUUUAUACAGAAAAUGUGGUUCAGUCGUAUCGGGUGCUUAUUGCGAUGAGUGUUUGUACCGAAAAUAAACGAUUGAUUCCUUUCACCCAGGCGGAGAAGUAUUUAUUGUAUGACUUAAUCAAAAAGUACAAGCAUAUAAUAGAAAAUAAAAAAACAGAUGCUGUCACAAACAACGAAAAGAAGCUAGCGUGGAAACGAAUUUCUGUGGAGUUUAAUGCCAGUGAUGUAACGAAACGAGACGAUGCACAGCUUAAAAGGUGUUGGGAGAAGACGAAAACUACUGCAAAGAAACAUAAAAUAGCGGAAAGGCAGCAUGCAAUGAAGACUGGUGGUGGCAGUGCCUUUGUAAAGAAGCCUGAAGUUGAAGAAGUGGUGACAAUAGUUUCAUCAAUUCAACCUCACUUCGAUCUGGACGUGAACUGUCCUUGGGACAGUAAUGCUGUUCAUCUCCAGGAAGCAAGAAAUAUUACUUUUGACAUACAAGAGGUACCUCUGGCUGGCAGCAGUCAUCAAAGUUGUGACAUGUCAUCAGCAACACUUCUCGAAACCACUGAUGAUGUGGACAAUCCUGAUAUGUCACCAACAUUACAGCUUGGUUUAGUACAUCCUGACAUUGUUUCACAUAACGAAGAGGCCUCAUCACACAAUAACUCAACCCCUCGAGCUGCACCUCGCAAAAACUCUUCAUUUACUGUGAAGUCGACACGCAUGGUUGAAGCUGAAGUAAAAAAACGAAUUGAAAAAAUUGAUUUUGAGAUGGAGAUGCUUCGUGAAGCUCAUCGCUCACGAAUGAAGCAAGAUGCGGAAAUCCAUUCUCUAAAAAUUGCAAGAGAAAAGAACUUGUUGCGUAUUUCAGAAAUUGAAAAGGAGAUUAAAGAAAAAGAACUGAUGAAGAAUUGUUAAUUUUUUUUUUUGCUUUCCAGUCUCAUAAUGUAAUUAAUGGUGAUAUAUUCCUACAGUAUCUAAUAAAAAUCUUACAAACAGUACAUGCUACAAUUUGUCUUCUCCCCUCCCUGUUGAUCCCAUGCUUUGAGGUUGGCAUUAAACCUAAUGUCUGAGAAUAAUUGUUUCUGAUAUCAACAGGUAUGAGGAUACUAAUAUUGUUGGUGUGAUGUUUUUGCUUUUCGAAGCUAUCUUUACAUUCUCCUACAGAUACAUAAAUUUUGCACUGCUGCUUUCCUCACUGCAUCUUGUAAUGAUAUGUUUUAUGUACUAAAAGGUGUAUUUGUAAAUACUGGUGAUAAAUUUUGUGGUUAUAUACAGUAGAUGCAAUUAAUGCACACUUAUAAUUUGGCGGUGGCACAAAUGAAAUUUAUAAACUACUUAUGUUUGAAAUUAUUAUUAUUGUUUGUCACUUACAAAUUACUCCUAGGUGUUAAUAUGUAAAGCAUUAUGCCACAACUCAUGCUUAUGCAACCUAAUCACAUAUAUAAGCACAGAUAUUUGCAUUUUCAAACAAUUACUGAAGAGUUUGUGCAAG